rnacentral:rRNA from 1 species
UACAGAGGGUGCGAGCGUUAAUCGGAAUUACUGGGCGUAAAGCGCGCGUAGGCGGCUUUGCAAGUCGGGUGUGAAAUCCCCAGGCUUAACCUGGGAACUGCAUUCGAGACUGCAUUGCUAGAGUAUGGGAGAGGGAAGUGGAAUUUCCGGUGUAGCGGUGAAAUGCGUAGAUAUCGGAAGGAACAUCAGUGGCGAAAGCGACUUCCUGGACCAAUAUGACGCUCAUGUGCGAAAGCGUGGGGAGCAAACAGG